GCUGACGACCGGCGCACGGGUGCGUAACGCGUAUACAAUCUGCCUUACACUAAGGGAUAGCCCAGAGAAAUUUGGAUUAACACCUUAUAGUUUAUUUUUAUGGCAUCAUUUAAAUAAUAAAGUUUACGGUGUAAGAUGAGUAUGCGUCCCAUUAGUUUGUUGGUAAGGUAACGGCUUACCAAGACUACGAUGGGUAGGGGCCCUGAGAGGGGGAUCCCCCACACUGGUACUGAGACACGGACCAGACUCCUACGGGAGGCAGCAGUGAGGAAUAUUGGACAAUGGAGGAGACUCUGAUCCAGCCAUGCCGCGUGCAGGAAGACGGUCCUAUGGAUUGUAAACUGCUUUUAUACAGGAAGAAUAAGGACUACGUGUAGUCUGGUGACGGUACUGUAAGAAUAAGGACCGGCUAAC
rnacentral:rRNA from 1 species